rnacentral:rRNA from 1 species
UCCUCCUUUUUUCAGCAGUUGGGAAUAUUGCGCAAUGGGCGAAAGCCUGACGCAGCGACGCCGCGUGAGGGAUGAAGGUCUUCGGAUCGUAAACCUCUGUCAGCAGGGAAGAACGGUCACUGUGCUAAUCAGCAGUGAAUUGACGGUACCUGCAAAGGAAGCACCGGCUAACUCCGUGCCAGCAGCCGCGGUAAUACGGAGGGUGCGAGCGUUAAUCGGAAUUACUGGGCGUAAAGGGAGCGUAGGCGGUUUAGCAAGUCAGAAGUGAAAGCCCGGGG